rnacentral:lncRNA from 1 species
GGAAGGCGAUGGGUUAUAACCUUAUAAGGAGGAUAAUGAAACUUAGUGUCAUCCGGGAAGGUUGUAACCCCAUAGUACUCAACCAAUGAGGAACUAGGGGAGGGACUUGCGUACCGGAGAUAAAUUACCUGUUGUGACUGACCCAGGUGCGUCGUCCCAGACACCCGAUGUUACAAGACCGUUAUAAAAAGUCUCAUUUUCACUGUUCUUCGUGCCUCUAAGUCCAUUCUUUGGGUUUGAACGGGAGACGGUGGAGGUGACGCAGGGAGAAAAGCAGGCACUGCGGCAAACAGGCAACCUCGUGCACCAGCCAAGGUUGGGUAUUUCCUUCAGCCUAUUAAAGGAAUUGGGAACCUGUGGUACCUUCCUUUGAGUGUCACGGGAGUACCAUCUCUUUACCUUGGCAAGAGCAGAUCCUUCAUAUCUGUAGUUGAAUCACACACUCUCAGAUAUCUGAGCUUGAAUUCUACAGGGACACUUAUCUCAGCUUUUGAGUUUUAGGAGAAAUAGCCUGCAGACCAGAGAAUAAGGAAAAGUUGUUUCCUGCCAAAGAACAAGCAGUAUUGUGAAAUAUAAAAUUUUAUUGUUGCGGUGAAAGAAAAUUUCAGUAUCAAAUUUUUGAAAACACAAGUCAUCUGAGGUUGUGACUGGUCGCCCCCUCCCUCUUUGCAGUUAUGAUGUGACAUUUCACUUGCUUCACAAUCCAUCUCUUUGUAAAAACUGACUACCAUCUCUGGACUGGUUUCGGCUGACUGCUGAAGAUUUUUUAUUGCUGAAUAAUAUUUCACUGCAUGGAUGUGCCACAAUUUGUUCAUCCAUUCACCUCUGAAGAACAUCAUGGUUGUUUCCAAGUUUUGGAAAUUAUGAAUAAAGCUGUUAUAAAGUUUUGUGUAUUUUUUUUGGACAUACGUUUUCAGUUCAUUUGGAUAAAUACUGUAUUAGUCUGUUUUCACACUGCUAUAAAGACAUACCUGAGACUAGGUAAUUUGUAAAGGAAAUAAUUUUAAUUGAUUCAGAGUUCCACAUGGCUAGGGAGGCCUCAGGAAACUUACAAUCAUGGCAGAAUACAAGAGAGAAGCAAAGAACAUCUUACAUGGUGGCAGGUGAGAGAGAGAGAGCAAAUGAGCGAAGAGGGAAGAGCCUCUUAUAAAAUCAGAUCUCAUGAGAACUCACUCACUAUCACAACAACAACAUGGGAGAAACUGUCCUGGUGAAUCAAUUACCCCCAACCUGGUCUCUCCUUUGACACAUGGGGAUUAUGGGGAUACAAUUCAAGAUGAGAUUUUGGGUGAGGACACAGCCAAGCCAUAUCAAAUACCAACCAACAGCUGAAUCAUUAGGCAAGACUAGGUUUAUGUAAAUUAAAAGUGGCUGGACCAUUUUGCAUUUCUACCAGCAAUGAAUGAGAAUUUUUUUUUUUUUUUUUUUUU